rnacentral:rRNA from 1 species
UACGAAGGGAGCUAGCGUUGUUCGGAAUCACUGGGCGUAAAGCGCACGUAGGCGGAUGUGUCAGUCAGGGGUGAAAUCCCGGAGCUCAACUUCGGAACUGCCCUUGAUACAGCACGUCUUGAGUCCGGAAGAGGUGGGUGGAAUUCCUAUUGUAGAGGUGAAAUUCGUAGAUAUUAGGAAGAACACCGGUGGCGAAGGCGGCCCACUGGUCCGGUACUGACGCUGAGGUGCGAAAGCGUGGGGAGCAAACAGG